AUUGAACGCUAGCGGCAGGCCUUACACAUGCAAGUCGGGCGGAGCGGCGAACGGGUGAGUAAUGCAUAGGAACCUGCCCGGUAGCGGGGGAUAACGACCGGAAACGGGCGCUAAUACCGCAUCCUAUUAGAGGAGCCGAUAGCGGAUUAGCUAGUUGGUGGGGUAACGGCCUACCAAGGCGACGAUCCGUAACUGGUCUGAGAGGACGAACAGUCAAACUGGGAUUGAGACACGGUCCAGACUCCUACGGAAGGCAGCAGUGGUGAAUGUUGGACAAUGGGGGAAAUCCUGAUCCAGCCAUGCCGCGUGUGUUAAGAAGGUCUUCGGGUUGUAAAGCACUUUUAGUAGGGAGGCGUUACCAACAGAAUAAGCACCGGCUAACUACGUGCCAGCAGCCGCGGUAAUAC
rnacentral:rRNA from 1 species